AGGAAAGUAAGCUAAUUUAAGCUAAUGGGUUCAUACCCCAUCUAUAGAGUAAUCAUCUCUCUUUCCUA
rnacentral:tRNA from 1 species